GAGCGGUAAGGCCCUUCGGGGUACACGAGCGGCGAACGGGUGAGUAACACGUGAGCAACCUGCCCCUGACUCUGGGAUAAGCGGUGGAAACGCCGUCUAAUACCGGAUACGACACACCGCCUCAUGGCGUGUGUGUGGAAAGUUUUAUCGGUCAGGGAUGGGCUCGCGGCCUAUCAGCUAGUUGGUGGGGUAAAGGCCUACCAAGGCGAUUACGGGUAGCCGGCCUGAGAGGGCGACCGGCCACACUGGGACUGAGACACGGCCCAGACUCCUGCGGGAGGCAGCAGUGGGGAAUAUUGCACAAUGGGCGAAAGCCUGAUGCAGCGACGCCGCGUGGGGGAUGACGGCCUUCGGGUUGUAAACCUCUUUUACCACCAACGCAGGCUCCACGUACUCGUGGGGUUGACGGUAGGUGGGGAAUAAGGACCGGCUAACUACGUGCCAGCAGCCGCGGUAAUACGUAGGGUCCGAGCGUUGUCCGGAAUUAUUGGGCGUAAAGAGCUCGUAGGCGGCGUGUCACGUCUGCUGUGAAAGACCGGGGCUUAACUCCGGUUCUGCAGUGGAUACGGGCAUGCUAGAGGUAGGUAGGGGAGACUGGAAUUCCUGGUGUAGCGGUGAAAUGCGCAGAUAUCAGGAGGAACACCGGUGGCGAAGGCGGGUCUCUGGGCCUUACCUGACGCUGAGGAGCGAAAGCAUGGGGAGCGAACAGGAUUAGAUACCCUGGUAGUCCAUGCCGUAAACGUUGGGCGCUAGGUGUGGGGACUUUCCACGGUUUCCGCGCCGUAGCUAACGCAUUAAGCGCCCCGCCUGGGGAGUACGGCCGCAAGGCUAAAACUCAAAGGAAUUGACGGGGGCCCGCACAAGCGGCGG
rnacentral:rRNA from 1 species